GCUGAACAACUGCUGAUAUAAGUUUAAUAUUGUUGCUAUGAAGUAUUGAGAUUAAUUCACCGUUUGAUCUGAUUUUAAAAUGGAAGCACUUCGGUUAAUAGCCAAAGGACUUACUGCAGAGGCAAGUAGCAAGCGUCUCAAAGAUUCACAAGAAAAGACGACGGAGAAAGGACAAGAUGAAACGGACAAGGGAGAUAGAAACUUUGAUUCAG